GUUGUCAUGGAACACCAGAUUGAGCUCCCUGCAUCAGACAGCAAAUUCCCACUGGCUAUCUGUUUUACUUAUGGUAAUGUUGGGGUGUCAAUGCUACUCAAGGAGAGGGGAUUUGUGGGGGUUUUUUUUUUUCUCCUGUUUUGUAAUAGGAGCUAUGAAGGUUUCUGAGCAGGAGUGACUGUGCCAGAUAAACCUGGCAACAGGUGUGGGAGGAAAUAAGAUGAGGUAAGGCAAUAGUUAGGAGGCUAUUAAGAUGUUAUUUUAAUGAUUUCUAAGAGGGAGGCAUGGGAAAAUGUGAUGGAGAAGGAGGGUAAAUGGUGGAGUCAGGGUUCAGAGGAGGCAAGAAGGGCCAGGAUCAAGAACUCAGACUUGGUGGUACCCACUGACCACCCUAUUCUAUCAGCUCCUUUCUGUGGAUCAGCGCAAGCAGCCACAUUUGGUUAUGGUCGGUCUUUCCCACUGAGCAAGGGGCAGGAGGAGCUACUGCUGUUGGCUCACACUUGGCAAACCCGCGUGCUCUCUCUCAAGAGGGAGAGUUAGUUUCAGAAGGAAAGAGCGUGGCUUUUCCAGGAGGAGGAGCUAAGGAGAGAGGGUAAAUACUGCCAGCAAUCUCAUGAUGGAAAUGACCAGAUAUUCUCAACUGCCUGUUCCAUGGAGGAACAUGGUUUACGAUCUCAGCUAACUGGGUAGCAAUGAGGUGAGAGGAGUGGGGAAUAAGGAGCAGAGAGAAGAUUUAGACCCACCUGCAGAAUAAUGGAAUAAUGAUGAUUUUUUUUUCUUCUUUUUUGGGCACCGCUAUGAGCUAGACACUCUGGUCACAUGGCUGCCAAUCAGAAAUGUCAGCAAAGCUUCUAGCAACUUGUGACUAAGCUGACCAUGUGGAGUUAUAUCAGAAAUAAACAAGUUCAGCAAUUGUGCUGCACAUGUUGUCCAUGAAUUCAAAGGCUUCCACAGAUCUCCUAUGAACUGUGAUGAAGGACUGGAAAAAGUUCUACUGUUGUAGGAGGUAUAAAUUGUAUCAACUGGGGGAACAAUCGAAAUGCAAACUUCUGGGCCCAUCCAAACAAUCUACAGAGAACCAAGAGCAUAUGGACAUUUUAUGAGCACACAUAAAAAAUUGCCUUCUGAUCUACACCCUCCUGUCCUUCUCCUACCUUCUGAUGAUUAUUUUUCUUUCAGUAUUUUUUACUUCUGUGCAUAGGAGAAAGGAUAAGAGAGUGAGAACUACAACAAGGUAGUUGUAGAUACCUUGGAGAUAACUCCUACCUUAUAUUAUCAUUGUAAAUAUCAAUCAAGACAAUAUAGAUAAAGUGCUAUGCCUGAAGCAAAGUAAGAAUUCCAUUAUUGUUGUCACUACUGUUACUAUUACUACUACU